rnacentral:rRNA from 1 species
AAACUGGAGAGUUUGAUUCUGGCUCAGAAUGAACGCUGGCGGCGUGCUUAACACAUGCAAGUCGAACGAGAAAGACCCUGCUUGCAGGGACGAGUAAAGUGGCGCACGGGUGAGUAACGCGUGGGUAAUCUGCCCUUAAGACCGGGAUAACAUGGCGAAAGCCGUGCUAAUACCGGAUGAAAUCCAUGUUGCU